AGAAUCAACGCUGGCGGCGUGCCUAACACAUGCAAGUCGAACGAGAAAGUGGAGCAAUCCAUGAGUAAAGUGGCGACCGGGUGAGUAACACGUGACUAACCUACCUUUUAGUGGGGGAUAACCUCGGGAAACCGAGGCUAAUACCGCAUAACAUCGCAAGAUCAAAGCAGCAAUGCGCUGGAAGAGGGGGUCGCGGCUGAUUAGCUAGUUGGCGGGGUAACGCCCACCAAGGCGAAGAUCGGUA
rnacentral:rRNA from 1 species